AUGGCCUCAUCUAGAGAAGUUCCAUUGGUUUCUAGAAAGCCUCGCCAGCCUGGAGCGGAGAAGCUGUCACCUGAGAGCAGAACUGAGGUAUUACCUAGAGAGGAGGUUGCCCCACAAAAGUACUGUUUAUUGAUUGAAGGAGAAGAAAACCUGAAACUAAAAUGCACAAUCAACCAAACUCCUGAGCAUCAGUGUUUGGAUCCCAACCCCAACCCCACAGCAGUCACCCACCCACCCCCAUUUUCCCUCCAAGAAGCUGCCUUUUCCUGACAGACUGGAGGUCUGGUGGCCGCCUGAGGAGGAAUCUCCAUGACUCAUGCUGAUGGGAAAUCUAUCAGCAAAGAUACAAGAUGUCACAGUCUCUUUCCUCAUCUAGGGCAUUUGAGGGAAGGCAAAGCAGGGUUGCAUCAUCUGGGUAUUUCAGAAUCAAAGGUUGGCUGCCAGGGGAAGCAAUGAGGAGUUUGGAGGUCUGGCACUAGCCAGGGUAUGCUUUAUCUUGUCUGGUCCCUCUAGAUAGGUUUGUUUUCAAAGGUGAAGACAAGACUGAUUAAAAUGAAUUAAGUCCCAAGAGGGCAGUCACAGGGGAAGAGGUACCACUCCAUCAUGACAGGCACUUUAUUUCACAGACAUGCCCUUACAAAGUGCUGAAGGCAUGCACAUUUUAGAUUUUAGUUUUCAAUUUAUAUUUAGAUUUCUAUUUUAAAAGGCAUGUGCAUCAAAGAUGACUUAGACCUUCCUCCAAGCAUUUAAGUGUAACUUUAAGGAGUCCUUGUGCUAUGUUUCCAAGGUUAUUACUUUAACUUGGCAAGAAUAAUCAGAGAAUUAUUAGAGAAAUGCAAAUCAGAACUACAUGAGGUACCACUUAAUACCAGUCAGGAUAGCCAUCACUGAUAAGUCUACAAAUAACAAAUGCUGGACAGGGUGUGGAGAAAAGGGAACCCUCCUGCACUGUUGGUGUAACCACUAUGGAAAACAGUCCAGAAGUUCCUCAAAAAACUAAAAAUAGAAUUACUAUAUAUAAUCUAGCAAUCCUACUCCUGGAAAUAUAUCCGGACAAAACUAUAAUUCAAGAAGAUAUGGAGUUCCCAUCGUGGCUCAGUUGUUAACGAAUCCGACUAGUAACCAUGAGGUUGUGGUGUGGGUUCAAUCCCUGGCCUUGCUCAAUGGGUUAAGGAUCUGGCAUUGCUGUGAGCUGUGGUGUAAGUUGCAGAUACAGUUCGGAUCCCGAGUUGCUGUGGCUGUGGCUGGGGCUGGCGGCUACAGGUCCGAUUUGGCCCCAAGCCUGGGAACCUCCAUAUGCUGUGAGAGCAGCCUUAGAAAAGGCAAAAAAAAAAAAAAGAAGAAGAAGAAGAAGAAGGUACAUUCCCCCCUGUGUUCAUAGCAGCACUAUUCACAAUAGCUAAGACAUGGAAACAACCUCAAUGUCCAUCAACGGAUGAAUGGAUUAAGAAGAUGUGGUACAAUGGAAUAUUCUCCACAAAAAAAGAAGGAAAUAAUGCCAUUUGCAGCAAUACGAAUGGACCUGGAGAUUCGUAUAUAAGCAAAGUCAGAAAGAGAAAUACAAAUACCGUAUGAUGUCACUUGUAUGUGGAAUCUAAAAUUUGGCACAAAUGAACCUAUCUACAAAACAGAAACAGAGAACAGCCUUGUGGUUGCCAAGGGGGAAGGGAGAGUAAGUGGAAUGGACUGGGGUUUGGGGUUAAUAGAUCCAAACUAUUAUAUUUAGAAAGGAUAAGCAACAAGGUCCUACUGUAUAGCACAAGGAAAUAUAUCCAAUCUCUUGAGAUAAACUAUNACACUGCUCUGACACUUAGCAGAUCCACCUGGUUUCAUAAAGACCCAGGCAUUUAAUUAUCCUUGGAUUUAUUUGGGGGAAACUCCCCCAACCCCAGUUUGCAAAACCUUUUUGCUGGCCUCUGAUUACUAUUUUUUUCUUUUUUCUUUUAUUAAAAUACAGUUGACUUACAGUGUUGUGCCAAUUUCUGCUGUAUAGCAAAGUGACUCAUGCAUAUAUAUAUGCGUGUGUAUAUAUAUAUAUAUAUACACACGCAUAUAUAUAUGCAUGAGUCACUUUGCUAUACAGCAGAAAUUGGCACAACACUGUAAGUCAACUGUAUUUUAAUAAAAGAAAAAAGAAAAAAAUAGUAAUCA
rnacentral:lncRNA from 1 species